UUUUAGGGAGAGAGUAGUGAUGUCACUAUUAAAUGUGAUAUUUCACGAAUGGUUCUUUCACUUUCACGGCUGAAGAAACACACAUCUCUUAAGGCUUGCAUCUUCCCUCUACCUCUAUACUCCAAGUUCCUGGCUGGCACUGGAAUUACAUCUUUAGCACGGACAUCAUAACCUCCAGGUGAGAUUCAGGCUUGUUUCCGGGAAGAAACCCUGACAGAAAUUCAGAAGAACAGGAGCUGCAUUCCGUUAGGACAUGAAUACAUGAAAUGUUUGUCUUGGGAACUCCUAGAAGAAUGAGCUGGGACCCACUUUCCGAGGUCUG